rnacentral:lncRNA from 10 species
AUAAGUAGUAAAGUGCGUUUUUAUACAGAAUAUUACCUAUUCCAUGUAAAUCUUUAAUAAGGCAUGCUAGAGGGUUUUAAAAGAAAUCCAGACUUCAUGAAAUGAGAAUAUCCAGAGGGAAAAAUGAUUGAAUUUAAAGAGAGAGAGAGAGAAAAAAAAAGAAGGAACCUUCAGUGGUAACUGUAUUCAGCCAAGGGGAUCUGCUGAUGGAAUUAUGAAAUCCAGUUUGGGAAGUGAAGUGAACUUUCCCAGCCACCGACUCAAAGCACAAGAUCCUAAAGUGCUUAAUGAACAGUGAAGGCUGACCUGUGAAGGAUUAGGAAUUUCAGACAUGUGUUACUUAAGCUUCUCAUUCCCAGAACCAAAAUUCCUCGCAAUAAAAGAAAGAAAGAAGUCAGCAUGAUGGCUCCAUCGCUGGGCUGACCUCAGAUCGUGCUGGUCUCAGUGAUGAACGGAAGGAAUGAGAAAUCUUCUAACAGAUUCCACAUUUCUGGAGGUGCUGGCCAUUCCAGGUACCAUGAGGCCAAUGAAAUCAAUGUUCUGUCCUUUCCUUCAUGGUACUGACUGAAGAUCUUUAUCUGAUGUGUUGGAUCACAGGCACAGGCAGGGACAAGAGACAACUUCUACACAUGUCCCAGCCUCUGCUUCACUGGGAACAAGAAGUUGCUCUGAAGUAGACCCCUGAGCAACACAGGUAUAUGAGGAUUUUCCUCCGCCUCGGCCACCCCUGAGACAGCAAGAUCAAUCCUUCCUCUUCCUCCUCUUCCUCCACCUCCUCAAUGUGAAGAUGAUGAGAAUGAAGACCUUGAUGAUGAUCCACUUCCACUUAAUGAAUAGUGAAUCCAUUUCCUCCUCCUUAUGAUUUUCCUAAAAGCAUUUUCUUUUCUCUAGCUUGCUUUAUUAGAAGAAUACCAUAUAUAAUACAUAUAAACAUACACGAUAUGUAUUAAUUUACUGUUUAUAAUAUUGGUGAGGUUUCUGGCCAAGAUUUCUUCCCAGUUCUGACAUUAAAAAAUGCUUCCUGAACACAUGUUGUUCAAGGAUCCACUGUAUAUUAAUUAUAUAAUGUAUAUAUUUAUAAAGUAUAAAUUAAUAUAACUAUAUUAUGAAUUAAAAAUUUAUAAUAUAAUAAAGUAAUAAUUUAUAGAAAAUAAUAAUAAAUUCAUAACAAAUCAAUAUUAUGAUAUUGUAUAUCAAUAUGUAAUAUAGUAUAUUAAUAUUAUAUUAAUAUAUUAUAGUAUAAUAUUUAAAUAUUAUAAAUUAUAACAUAACUGUAUAUUAAUUAUAAAAUGUUUUAUAUGUAUGUACAUG